AGCUGCGAACGACGCGUCCGUGCGUCGUGCUCGCGAUCAACGUUACAAUUUUUUUUUGUUGAGCGUGCGAAACACCACCAUUCUACGUUGUACGCUGUGCACCAGGCAUGUCAAACACGCGGCCCACGGUUAAUUUUUUCGGUGGACCCCGGCUACCAAUAUCAAUCGACAAGAUAAAAAAAAAAAAAAAAUGAUAAAAUAUUCGUGUCAAGUCGCAACCAUCUUAGGCUCUUAGAAAAUGUUAUAUUAGGUAUAAGUUAUUACGUCUUUAAUUCUGGUAAACUGUAAUCCAUUGACCCGCAUAGUAAACUAUUCAAUAUGUUUGACCCUCUUGAUACUUUGAAUUUGACAUGCCUGCUGUACACGUAUUACAUACACGUAACGCAAUGAACCCGCGGCAUAAAAUGUCGUCCGCACUUCGUCGUGUUGCGCUUUCGCCAUCGAAUCAUGUUGAAAUGCGAGUCGCCAAGCACAGGAGACCGUCUUGCAUUCUGUUUUUUUAUUCGUACACCACCGUCAAAACUAUACGACUACAAAUGUUUUUUAAACAUUUAAUUUGCUUAGACUGUUGGCCUCAGGAGUAGCUCGGCUCUAUCUGAAUUUUAAAGUGAGAUUUUAAGUCUCAGUCUAACGCUAUACAUACAUUAUAAGUUGUCUCUACAAAGUCUAAAAUGUUGCUCCUUAUCACCACUUGAUACUUAACAAGUGUAUAAUCUUUGUCAUCAAAAUCAAAUAAAUUGAAAAUUUUUAUACACCUCUAUUA